CGGACCCCAUGAUUGCUUCACGGUGACCACCCAACUUACUUGUCCUAGGGUUGACCUAAAGGACACCCUGCUCCAGAAUCCAAAUCUGCUGUUCUAUGUAGACAGGUGCUGCCUCAGGAAUCCUUCCGGCCAGCUUGUGGCCAGCUAUGCUAUGGAUCGAGGCCUAGCCGUGCGCGAAGGCAGAUGCCAUCACUGUGGCCAAAAGACUGUUAAAAAGACUUUAUCCCU